AGAUGAGAUCUUGGAAAAGAGAUGAAUAAUAUACGUACAAUUCAUCACUGGGGCACUCAUAGAACAGAUGGCGUCGUAGGAUUUCCCGAUGCGGCACAGCUGCAUGGCGCGGAAGCCACUCUGUCGGAGCAUCCCAGUGUACUCGGAAGGCGGCCGCUCGCGGCCUUCUGCCUGCACCAGCAUGUUGAGCGAGAAGAGCUGCGCCUGGAUGGGGCCCCGCCGGCUCUCUAGCAACAUGGCCUCCACCAGCAGCACACCUCCCCCUGAGGCAAAAGCACACAAUGAGGAUUCUAUGUGAAAUAUGUCAUCCUCUCCAAUUGAGUCGUGCAAUAUCGAACAGUAAGCCCAUUUUGAAUGGAACACAACCGAAUGGAGUCCUUGAAUGUGAUGCACUAAUGCUACAGCAUGAUAAGGCCUUGCCUGGUUUGCAGAUGUCGUAGAUCCUCUUGAGAAGUGUCAGACAUUUGUCGUCCGACCAGUCGUGGAGGAUGCGAGCCAGGACGUACAAGUCAGCAGCAGGAAGUUCACCGUGGAAAAAAUCUCCUGAAGAGCACGAGUUCAGCAAGGCAGACACCGCAGCACCUCAAAAUAUCCAGCAGAGGGUGCAGUUUUACUUCCAAUUGACCGAC